rnacentral:tRNA from 1 species
GGUUCCGUAGCUUAGGGGAAUAGAAGCGCCAAUUUAGCGAAUUGGGAGACAUAGGUUCAAUUCCCACAGGAGCCC